rnacentral:rRNA from 1 species
AGAGCAUGACCCCCAGCAUUGGCACUGAGACACUGGCCAAACUCCUACGGGAGGCUGCAGUCGAGAAUAUUCCACAAUGGGCGAAAGCCUGAUGGAGCGACACCGCGUGCGAGAUGAAGGCCCUAGGGUCGUAAAUCGCUUUUAUUAGGGAUCAAUGUACUGAGCGUACCUAAUGAAUAAGAGGUUACUAACUCUGUGCCCGCAGUAGCGGUAAUACAGAGACCUCAAGCGUUAUCCGGAUUUAUUGGGCGUAAAGCGUAUGUAGGCGGGUGUGUUAGUCGUGGGUCAAAUUUCAGAGCUCAACUCUGAAGCUGCUCGCGAAACGGCACAUCUAGANAAAGUGANAGAUGACUGGAACUCAUGGUGUAGUAGUGAAAUGCGUUGAUAUCAUGGGGAACACUAAAGGCGAACGCAGGNCAUUGGCNCUUUUCUGACGCU